ensembl:lncRNA
CCCCAGUACUCACACUCCAUCUGACUGCUAAGAGCAUCCCUUUCCCAAUGGCAUCUUCAGUCUGAGAAGCAUCAAAGAGAGUGAGCAACUGUCUCGAGCCUUAGAAGGAAAAAAGGCAGGGAGAGAAGAAGGAAAAAGCAAUUCUCUUCAAGAAUUUCAUGGUGGCAUUCUCUCCAACUGCUUCUCCCAUGGACCAGAAAUCAUACCUAAUUCAGAGAGUAACUUUUGGAUGAAGGAAAAAAAAAGCAAGGAAAGGAAUGUCAGUGGGUUUUGUUGUUGUUUUUCUCCACUAUUUGCACAACCACUAGAGGGCUUCAUCAUGCUCUGGGUUCUGGAGCAAUUUGGUUGAAGAAUGAGCUGAAGGUUGGAUUUCUUGUCCCCAUUUCCAUUGACUGCUCCAGGAGGAAGGGGCACAUGCUGCAAGAAGGGCCCUCAGCUAAUCCAGGGCACCAGAAGGCUGCCGUGACAGCGUGUUUCUGGGGAAGGCAUUUGGAGCAACCAAAAAAGAGGGCAUCUGGGGCACGUUUCGCCUCUGUGAUGUUUUCCACCUGCCUUUCCCAUGGCAGAGAAUGGGCUGAAGUGUCCCAGCGCAGGGUAGGGUGAUAUGCACAGCUGUGGUUUUGCACAAAAAUAAAAUGCAGAGCAGUGGAACAAGCUCAGACAGGAAAUCACUUAUUUCCUUGUGCUGCUGCUAUGACAGCAAUGUUGAUGUUGGAUCUUCC